UACGUAGGGUGCAAGCGUUAAUCGGAAUUACUGGGCGUAAAGCGUGCGCAGGCGGUUGUGUACGUCUGUCGUGAAAUCCCCGGGCUCAACCUGGGAAUUGCGAUGGAGACUGCACGGCUAGAGUGUGUCAGAGGGGGGUAGAAUUCCACGUGUAGCAGUGAAAUGCGUAGAUAUGUGGAGGAACACCGAUGGCGAAGGCAGCCCCCUGGGAUAACACUGACGCUCAUGCACGAAAGCGUGGGGAGCAAACAGG
rnacentral:rRNA from 1 species